rnacentral:rRNA from 1 species
GAAUGCUGACAUAAGUAACGAUAAAGCGGGUGAAAAGCCCGCUCGCCGGAAGACCAAGGGUUCCUGUCCAACGUUAAUCGGGGCAGGGUGAGUCGACCCCUAAGGCGAGGCCGAAAGGCGUAGUCGAUGGGAAACAGGUUAAUAUUCCUGUACUUGGUGUUACUGCGAAGGGGGGACGGAGAAGGCUAUGUUGGCCGGGCGACGGUUGUCCCGGUUUAAGCGUGUAGGCUGGUUUUCCAGGCAAAUCCGGAAAAUCAAGGCUGAGGCGUGAUGACGAGGCACUACGGUGCUGAAGCGACAAAUG